rnacentral:rRNA from 1 species
CCUACCGAUUGGAUGAUCCGGUGAAAAUGUUGGAUUUGACUGCACUCUUAUGGGUGCGAUUGGAGAAAAUAUUUGAACCUUAUUAUCUAGAGGAAGGAGAAGUCGUAACAAGGUA